UACGUAGGAGGCGAGCGUUGUCCGGAUUUACUGGGCGUAAAGCGCGUGUAGGCGGUACGAUAAGUCUGCUGUGAAAGCGCUCGGCUUAACCGGGCGAGGUCGGUGGAUACUGUCGCACUUGAGGACGGUAGAGGGGGGUGGAAUUCCCGGUGUAGUGGUGAAAUGCGUAGAGAUCGGGAGGAACACCAGUGGCGAAGGCGGCCCCCUGGGCCGCUCCUGACGCUGAGACGCGAAAGCGUGGGGAGCGAACAGG
rnacentral:rRNA from 1 species